rnacentral:lncRNA from 1 species
UCGUCCACACCGCUACUCAACCAGACUCAAUCAUCAAAGGAUUAUGGACCAGGUUCAGACAGAGUUGGCUGAGAUGAGGGCGAACAUGGCCCAGUUUAUGAUGAUGAUGCAAGGAGUUGCUCAGGGGCAAGAGGAGCUGCGUGCCUUAGCCCAGAGACUGGAAGUCGUGAUUCCACUAGUCCACCGUGCUUCACCAGUGGAUGUACCCAUUCAUGAGAAUGCUACUGUC